CCCUCAUAACACCACCACCUUCUCUGCCCCCUAGCAUGUAACUUUCCCUUUGUUAGCUUGUCCAAAUUAAAGGAAUGAGAAUACUUAACUCAGUCUUCUUUUUUCUCAUAGGACUACAAAUCCCUCCAGGAUAUCAUUGCCAUCCUGGGUAUGGAUGAACUUUCUGAGGAAGAUAAGUUGACUGUGUCCCGUGCACGGAAAAUACAGCGUUUCUUGUCUCAGCCAUUCCAGGUUGCUGAGGUCUUCACAGGUCAUAUGGGGAAGCUGGUACCCUUGAAGGAGACCAUCAAAGGGUUCCAGCAGAUUUUGGCAGGUGAAUAUGACCAUCUCCCAGAACAGGCCUUCUAUAUGGUGGGACCCAUUGAAGAAGCUGUGGCAAAAGCUGAUAAGCUGGCUGAAGAGCAUUCAUCGUGAGGGGUCUUUGUCCUCUGUACUGUCCCUCUCCUUGCCCCGAACC
rnacentral:sRNA from 1 species